rnacentral:rRNA from 1 species
UACGGGGGGGGCAAGCGUUGUUCGGAAUUACUGGGCGUAAAGGGCUCGUAGGCGGCCAACUAAGUCAGACGUGAAAUCCCUCGGCUUAACCGGGGAACUGCGUCUGAUACUGGAUGGCUUGAGUUCGGGAGAGGGAUGCGGAAUUCCAGGUGUAGCGGUGAAAUGCGUAGAUAUCAGGAGGAACACCGAUGGCGAAGGCAGGUCUCUGGGCCACUACUGACGCUGAGAAGCGAAAGCAUGGGGAGCGAACAGG